AUCUUACUGCCGAAAUCCUCCUCCCUCAAUUUCUUCGUGCUCUCAAAAAAUGUUAUUAUCAUGAGAAAAAACAAUAAAAGCAAGGGAAAAUAUUUUGGAGUUCUAAAACGUUGGUCAUGUUCGAGAACUGAAAGAUUGAAAAACCUAGCGAUUUUGCGGCUCAAAUCCUAGGAACAAAAAGCAACAGAAGAAUUGAAGGAUCAAACCCAUUUAUGAAUCAAGGAGGAGUUCAGAAACGCUGGUCAUGUAAAGAGAACCUUUCCGUUCACUCAUUAACAUUCCUUCCUACCCACCAUCAUCAUCAUUUUGCAUCCCAUAGAUACCCAGGUUGAAACCGAUUGAGCACUUAAUGCGGCUAUUGAAGGAUCACCUCCAAAAAUUAGGAGUGAAAUAUGGAAGGGUAUUGAUGGCUAUAAAGGACGUCUUCUUUGUUAAUUUGUGGGUCUGGACUCUGGGUCUUAUUUUGAUUUUGGAGAGAGCACCAAGUCUGCAACUAAUCGAGAGAGAUGCUAAGAUAUCCAUUCAGUUUCAUUUUGGAAAUUUUGUCUAACCUAUAAUGCUCAUCAACGAUGUAACUAAUAGAGUUUGUAUGGGUUUUGAGGUACUUUUUCCUAAAAGUUUGGAUUUUGGUGAUAUAGGUUCUAUAACAAAUGCCUGGAUUUUUAAUUUAGUGCAGAACAUAAGGCCUUAAUGUACUAAACAUGCUUGAACCCAUCUUAGGAAGGUCAAUUAAAACAAUUACAGAGUUUUGUUAGAUGUCAAAGAUGAAGAUGUGUACAUCUUUAUACCGGGCGUAACUUUAUGAAUUUUUCUUAUUUCUACAACAUAUACCCAUCAAAAUCCUUAUAACUGUAUAUUAUCAUUUUUUCACUCCAUUAUGUAAUUGUUUUACAUCAACAAACUCAUCGACCUAAAUUCAACGUACAAAUUUUACUUAUUAAAUAUUUUUUUUAUCGGUAUAAAAUAUAUGUUUUACUCGGUAGGCAGCCGAUGUAGGCAGAAAAAUCAAGUAGAAGUAUUUUUCUUGGAUUGAGUGGUUUCUUUUUGGGAUGCUUUUAUACUGUGAAAUUCCACCGUAGCGCAAUGUUACAAUAAUUUGUGAAACUGGGUUACAACAGUCUUUGUACCACACUUACUUUGGUUGUGAUUUCUCAUUCGAUUUGUCGUCAUUAACCUCAGUCGACGAUGUGCAGCUCAUCUUUGGUAUAACCACCUAUGUUCAUUGUUCUUUUCCCUGUUUCAUUGGAGGUUACUUCACACUGGUGAGCCUUUGUUCCUCCUUUUAGUAAUUUUUGAUCUGAGAUUUUACGGCAUUUAAAAAUAUUCCUUUUACACCGAUUUCUGCUUUUUUUACCGUAAGUCCUUUGGUGAGUCUUUUUUUCCAUUUUUUAUUUAAUCGGAGUUAACCGUGCCCAAUAAUGUCCAAAUCAUUUUUGGGUUUAAAUAUGGUUUUGGUCCUUUAUUUGACUUUCAAUGCUUUGUAUGCUUUGAAAUUUCAUUCUUCCAUUAUGAUGCUCUUCAGUGUUCCCUUAUCCGUAGUCGUACAGUGUCGGAUUCCAUCAAAUAGAAUUUGUGAUGCAAGAGGUGCGAGCACAGUUUCACUUUUCCAAGAUUCAAAGUGUUGUGCUUCUAAUUGGAUAGGAGUAUCAUUAUCCUCAAGAAACUAAUCGUAAACCCCUUUAUUUGUGUUCAAGUAUUGCCUCUGGGGCCCCUAAAAUGCAUACAAAGUGGUUGAGUCUUAUACGCUGGCUGAUGGCUGAUCUAACUUUAAGGUCCAUACAAUGAAGUUCACCUAGGGUGGGAUAGUGGAAUAACUUCGAAGAUUACAUGAUCCCACUCUUAAAGUUUAUUAGAUGUGAACGGAAGGGGAUUGUGAUGACUAAGAAUGUACUUUAGAGAUAGUGGAUGCCUUCACUACUUAAUCUUCUUAUUGCGAUUGUGUCAAGUUCUAUGUAGAACGUGAAUAGGGGAAAUGUGUGUAAGAUGUUAAUGAAGGUUCGAGGCUUAUCCUAACCUUUUUGCAUUGUGGUAUACUAACUGUGCUUCUCCAUGAUUUUCUUGUGACGAGCUCAAGCGUCCGUAAUAAAACCAUUAAGGAAAAUUGUUGACAGUGUUCAUGUUCAAGUUUUCAAGAUAAGGAACGAUCUUAGGGUAUGGUUUCCAUUCUAAGUUCUUGCAUUGUUUAGUAUAGUUGAUUCAUUGUAAGUUCUAGCAUUAUUCCCAUUCUGCGAAUGAGCUGAAAAGAGUCAUUAAGAUAAAAGAUAAGUUCUGCGUUUCGUACACUCAACAAUUAGUUUGGGUCUUUCGGUGUCCUUACAAGGAUGAAAUCAGAAAAUGCUUUUUGUGUAACCUGUUUUUUGGUUUAACAAUUUGUUGCUGUAUAUUUGAAUCUGAACAAUUAUCAAUUAAACGGGUUUUCUUCCUUUCAAA